CCUACGGGGGGCAGCAGUGGGGAAUAUUGGGCAAUGGACGCAAGUCUGACCCAGCAACGCCGCGUGAAGGAAGAAGGCUUUCGGGUUGUAAACUUCUUUUAAGGGGGAAGAGCAGAAGACGGUACCCCUUGAAUAAGCCACGGCUAACUACGUGCCAGCAGCCGCGGUAAUACGUAGGUGGCAAGCGUUGUCCGGAUUUACUGGGUGUAAAGGGCGUGCAGCCGGGCCGACAAGUCAGAUGUGAAAUCCGCGGGCUUAACCCGCGAACUGCAUUUGAAACUAUUGGUCUUGAGUACCGGAGAGGUCAUCGGAAUUCCUUGUGUAGAGGUGAAAUUCGUAGAUAUUGGGUAGAACACCGGUGGCGAAGGCGGCUAUCUGGCCAUUUACUGACGCUGAGGCUCGAAAGCAUGGGGAUCAAACAGGAUUAGAUACCCUUGUAGUC
rnacentral:rRNA from 1 species